ensembl:lncRNA
CCUACCCAACCCCAGGACCUACCCACCCCAUUGUGACACUGCUCCCUGGACACCAUGGAACCCAAGGGUUCUGCUUCCAAGGGUCCGGCUGGGCCUGGAUUGUGGUCAGGAGCCUGCCAGACCCUGUUCAACUGUGGGAAGUCUAUGGAAGAAGACUGCCCUCCCAAGAAGCGUGAGUUCUAAGAUGUAGCAUCUGGCCAUUUCCUGCCCUCAGAAAGGGGGCUGCUCCUGGCUGUACCUCCCUGUCCCAGGCCUCAGUUUCCUCUUUUUAUAUUGG